GUUUAGUUAUGGAAAGAAGAUGGGAAGCAUCCACAAUCAAAAAUUGAAGAAUUAGUCUUACAGCUAAUGCCAUAAUUGAUUCACAAGGCGUUUAAUGGCCCGGAAUGAAAUCGCUAAAAGCGUCUCAAGGCGGUUUCAACGGAUUGGGAUGCAUGGUUUGAAGAGAUCGGUUGAGUCACAAGGCGUAUGAAGUCGUCCGUUUGACAUUUUUCGGUUGCAAACUUUUUUAGCUUCAUUUGGAAAACAUUCCACUUUCUCAAAUUGUAUACGUUUUGUGUUUUGAUUCGGUUUUGUUUUGUUUUGUGUUUGAUUCGGUAAACGUUGUUGAAACGUUUUUAAUAUAAGUUAGAAUAAAAAUAUUUUUAAUGUGGUUAUCGCACCGCAUUUUCAAUCAAA